UACAGAGGUGGCAAGCGUUGUUCGGAAUUACUGGGCGUAAAGGGCGCGUAGGCGGCUUGGUCAGUCCCGUGUGAAAUCCCUCGGCUCAACUGAGGAACUGCACGGGAAACUGCCUGGCUUGAGUUCGGGAGAGGGAAGCGGAAUUCCGGGUGUAGCGGUGAAAUGCGUAGAUAUCCGGAGGAACACCGGUGGCGAAGGCGGCUUCCUGGACCGACACUGACGCUGAGGCGCGAAAGCGUGGGUAGCGAACAGG
rnacentral:rRNA from 1 species